rnacentral:ncRNA from 2 species
UAAGUACACUAGGGGUGCCUAAAAAUCGGCUGAGAAUAUACCCUUAACCUGAUCCAGGUAAUGCUGGCGGAGGUAAGUGCCAAUACCUCCCA